CAGUGUCUGACGUGCCAUAUGGCAUUGGUUGAGUGGGAGGACCUUUUCAAGGUUAACUGGGCAUGUAAGCUACAAGUGCUGUCCUGUGUCCACUACUAAUUACACGAACAUAAAAUACAUAGAGAAAGCUUUAUUUCAGUCUUAAAAGUGACA